GUGAUGAGACGGCCGUGACUGGAAAAGUGAAGAGGUGUUUCUAAGCUGA
rnacentral:snoRNA from 1 species